CAGCCGCCGCGGUAAUACCGGCGGCCCGAGUGGUGGCCGCUAUUAUUGGGCCUAAAGCGUCCGUAGCCGGGCCCGUAAGUCCCUGGCGAAAUCCCACGGCUCAACCGUGGGGCUUGCUGGGGAUACUGCGGGCCUUGGGACCGGGAGAGGCGGGGGGUACCCCCGGGGGAGGGGGGAAAUCCUAUAAUCCCCGGGGGACCGCCAGUGGCGAAGGCGCCCCGCUGGAACGGGUCCGACGGUGAGGGACGAAGGCCAGGGGAGCAAACCGGAUUAGAUACCCGGGUAGUCCUGGCUGUAAAGGAUGCGGGCUAGGUGUCGGGUGAGCUUCGGGCUCGCCCGGUGCCGUAGGGAAGCCGUUAAGCCCGCCGCCUGGGGAGUACGGCCGCAAGGCUGAAACUUAAAGGAAUUGGCGGG
rnacentral:rRNA from 1 species